AAGGCUUUAGCUUAAUUAAAGUGUCUGUUUUGCAUGCAGAGGAUGUGGGGUAGGGACCCGCAAGUCUUA
rnacentral:tRNA from 1 species